UACGAAGGGGGCUAGCGUUGCUCGGAAUCACUGGGCGUAAAGCGCACGUAGGCGGAUCUUUAAGUCAGGGGUGAAAUCCUGGAGCUCAACUCCGGAACUGCCUCUGAUACUGGGGAUCUUGAGUCCGGAAGAGGUAAGUGGAACUGCGAGUGUAGAGGUGAAAUUCGUAGAUAUUCGCAAGAACACCAGUGGCGAAGGCGGCUUACUGGUCCGGUACUGACGCUGAGGUGCGAAAGCGUGGGGAGCAAACAGGG
rnacentral:rRNA from 1 species